rnacentral:rRNA from 1 species
UACGUAGGGCGCAAGCGUUGUCCGGAAUUAUUGGGCGUAAAGAGCUCGUAGGCGGUCUGUCGCGUCUGUUGUGAAAACUCGAGGCUCAACCUCGGGCUUGCAGUGGAUACGGGCAGACUAGAGUGCGGUAGGGGAGACUGGAAUUCCUGGUGUAGCGGUGGAAUGCGCAGAUAUCAGGAGGAACACCGAUGGCGAAGGCAGGUCUCUGGGCCGCAACUGACGCUCAGGCACGAAAGCGUGGGGAGCAAACAGG